rnacentral:rRNA from 1 species
UACAGAGGUGGCAAGCGUUGUUCGGAAUUAUUGGGCGUAAAGGGCGCGUAGGCGGCUUGGCAAGUGGAUGGUGAAAUCCCUCGGCUUAACCGAGGAACGGCCGUCCAAACUGCUUCGCUUGAGACCGGGAGAGGUGAGUGGAAUUCCCAGUGUAGCGGUGAAAUGCGUAGAUAUUGGGAGGAACACCAGUGGCGAAGGCGGCUCACUGGACCGGUACUGACGCUGAAGCGCGAAAGCGUGGGGAGCAAACGGG